CGCUGGCGGCGUGCCUAAUACAUGCAAGUCGAGCGGAUGAAAGAGAGCUUGCUCUCUGGAUUCAGCGGCGGACGGGUGAGUAACACGUGGGCAACCUGCCUGUAAGACUGGGAUAACUCCGGGAAAACCGGGGCUAAUACCGGAUAACUUCUUUCUUCGCAUGAAGGAAGGUUAAAAGACGGUUAUGCUGUCACUUACAGAUGGGCCCGCGGCGCAUUAGCUAGUUGGUGGGGUAACGGCCUACCAAGGCGACGAUGCGUAGCCGACCUGAGAGGGUGAUCGGCCACACUGGGACUGAGACACGGCCCAGACUCCUACGGGAGGCAGCAGUAGGGAAUCUUCCGCAAUGGACGCAAGUCUGACGGAGCAACGCCGCGUGAGUGAAGAAGGCCUUCGGGUCGUAAAACUCUGUUAUCAGGGAAGAAUCCGUGCCGGAGUAACUGCCGGUGCGUUGACGGUACCUGACCAGAAAGCCUACGGCUAACUACGUGCCAGCAGCCGC
rnacentral:rRNA from 1 species